rnacentral:lncRNA from 1 species
AUGAUGCAUCACAAAAGCAUCCAAAAAGGACUUUUGCCAGCUCUGAACUGUGAUGGGGUGUGCUGGAGAUGUGGUAGGAACUCCCCUUCGGCCCAGGUCUGUGGGCUGCCAUCCCAUUGUACUUGCCUGACUGACUGCACACUGCACCUUCCCUGCUCCGUUUACUGCGUGGCACAGUGGACGAGGGUGGCCUCAGCAGUGAAGGAGAGUGCUGGCUGCAGGGCCCUGCCUUUACUUAGGUUGAAACUGGGAGAUGUGGAUUUGAAAAGAAAGUUUCCAGAAGACUUAAAGAAGAAAUCAGAGUAUGGACUUUUUGCUCUCUGAAAUCAUUUUUUUAUUGCAUGUCCGUGAAAAGAGAUUGAAGGAUUUAAGCUUAAGUCUACAGAAGACUGAGGGAAGGCAUGGCAACAACUUCCAAAUAUGUAAAGAGGUGCUCCAGAGCAAUAAG